CCCAGAUCUGCAUAAGUUAUUUUCACCAAUAAUGCAAUGCUGACAGCUUACUGAAAAAAAAGUAUGUAUUAGAUAAUACAUAUAUAGGAAAGUAUGUAUUAGAUAAUACAUAUAUAGGAAGAUCCUAAAUUUUUAAAUUUUUUUUUCACUUUAUGAAGUACAGAAGCAAAGAAAAUCAUGAAGAUGUAACCAAACCUGGCCAACUUUUCGGAAAGCAUAAGAGGAAUUCAUCCAAUCUGAAUUUUCACAUGUUAUGGGCUAAUGAGAAUGACUUGCGCUGUUACGGGAGGAGGAAAGCCAAAUCAUAUUAUUCACUUUGGAAUAGCUAAGUGGGAAUUUUAUUGCUUGAUUGAUACAGUAGCAAGAAGAAAGAUUGAUAUUUAUGGAUUUUGAAGAAACUAUUUGGAAAGUCAAAUAUCUAACAGCUGUAAGGAAGAAGGGAAGAAUUAGAGAUGAGGGUUAACUUUCAGCAAAAAACUGCAUGUCUCACAGUAGAAAAGCACAAAUAUUAUCAUUUCCUGAAUAUUUUCAUUGGAUAUUGCACACUAAAGCUGAAAAAGCAGAGCACCUUGAAGGGCUAAGAAACAAAAGAUGGCUCCAUCUUUAUACUGUACAGUGUUUGUCACACAAUCCCCAGAACAGAAAACUAAAUUAUACUGCUGGGUGAGCCUCAGUGGAGCGCUUGGUGUGCCAGCAACAUUCUCCUUCUCCCAGGCCCCACAGCAUUGGAUUGAGCAGGCAGCAGAGCAAGAAAGAAUGCAGAUGCAAUGAUCACUUUAUCUCUGCACUCCAGAAAUCUCCCUCAGCUCCAUCACAGCAAGCUGCAGAGCUAAACUGAGUUGCCCUGACAGAAGGAAGUCAGGCUACCUUCUUUGCUCUUUGUUGAGCAGGAUGUUUGUUCACACACUGUUCAUUUUUAUUAAUUUAUUUGUCUGUCUGACUGUUUGUUUGUUUGUUUAUUUAGUGAUGCACACAGAAUAACUAAUAACUAGUAACACAGAAUACAGAAACUGCGUACUCAAUUAUAUGUAACUGAAUAUAACCUUAUAGUGUAAAAUAUUUAUAAUGCCAUCUAUAUCCCUGACCUUAUCAUUGAAGACAUCCGAUAAUAUACACAAUACCACCAUAUAUCUGAUGCCUGAUACGUCAAAUUACAGUAAGAUCUUAUUGAUAAAACCAACUUCUGUGUAUAAGGCUGUGAAUGGACUGUAAAGCAAGGAGGACAGUGACAUUUUAAAUAGAACUGGAAGCAUCAAGGCUACUCAUGUAGAGUUCCCGUGACACAAACUGAAGAUGAAAUUUUUAUCAUACUUUAAUAAAGCUUUCAAAUAUGUAUACUUUAUAAAAUUA
rnacentral:lncRNA from 1 species